AAUAAGUGUUUUACUGCACUUUUUAAACAAGUACUCACCUUGUGUGCAAUGUUUGCUGUCGAGUCGUUCACACGUCGCGACAGCAUAAUACCAACCCUUUAUUGUAAUUUUUUUGUCUGAAGCUAUUUCGAAUAUAUAAUUCUAAAUACAACUUUCAACAACGGAUCUCUUGGCUCU
rnacentral:misc_RNA from 1 species